rnacentral:rRNA from 1 species
CCUACGGGUGGCAGCAGUAGGGAAUCUUCGUCAAUGGGCGCAAGCCUGAACGAGCAAUGCCGCGUGAACGAGGAAGGUCUUCGGAUCGUAAAGUUCUGUUGAAGGGGAGAAAGAGCGGAGAGAGGAAAUGGUCUCCGAUUGAUAUUCCCCUUCGAGGAAGUCACGGCUAACUACGUGCCAGCAGCCGCGGUAAUACGUAGGUGGCGAGGGUUAUCCGGAAUGAUUGGGCGUAAAGGGUGCGUCGGCGGCCUGCUAAGUCUGGAGUGAAAGGUACCGGCUCAACCGGUACAGGCUCUGGAAACUGGCGGGCUAGAGAGCAGGAGAGGGCGGUGGAACUCCAUGUGGAGCGGUAAAAUGCGUAGAUAUAUGGAAGAACACCAGUGGCGAAGGCGGCCGCCUGGCCUGUUACUGACGCUGAGGCACGAAAGCGUGGGGAGCAAAUAGGAUUAGAUACCCUUGUAGUC